UGUGUUUAUUUCAUCUAAAAACUAGUUGGCAUCGCCGCUUUCACAUUAUCUUUAAUCUUCGAAGUUUAAAUUCAAAGCUGCGCAACUUUUAGUUUCAAUUCAGUUGUUCAGUACCAGACCAGAAAGUAGAGUAUCGACUUCGGAACGACAGUGUUAAAGUUGACUCGUUCUGUGUUUCUGGUUGUUCGGUAAGCAGUAAGUUAAGCAUAAACAGUGCAGUUGCAUCAAGAAGCCGCACUCAGCAUUUGGCGAAAAAUUGGUAUAUGUUCUACAUGCUAUUUCCGUAUAAACAAAACAUGUGUUCCCGUUUUUAGGUCGCUUUUUCGAUUCUUGAAUGGUCUCAACAAAUCAUACGAUUCUAACUCAGUAUUAGAACUCAAAUCCCAGCGACUCCGCAUUUGUAGCAGAUUAUUGAAAUUGUGAACUAAGAAAUUAAAGUCACCGAGAAGUCUAGGCCACAAAUUGAAAAUAUAAACCGUUGAAAUAGAACGUCAAAUUGAAGCUCAUAUGUAUUUUAGGAAAUAGAGAAGAAUGGAAGGCGUUAGGUGAGGUCUAACAGUGAAUUAAUAAAUAAUAAUAAAUGAACAGAUAAAAACUUUAAAA